rnacentral:lncRNA from 1 species
CUGAGGGAGGCACACUGUAGGGCAUGGUAUCUGAGGGAGGCUCACUGUAGAGCAUGGUAUAUGAUUGACACACACUGUAGAACAUGUUAUCUGAGGGAGGCACACUGUAGAACAUGUUAUCUGAGGGAGGCACACUGUAGAGCAUGAUGUCUGUGGAGGCACUGUAGAGCAUGGUUUCUGAGGGAGUCACACGGUAGAACAUGUUAUCUGAGGGAGGUACACUGUAGAGCAAGGUAUCUAUGGGAGGCACACUGUAGAACAUGGAAUAUGAGGGAUGCACACUGUAGAGCAUGGUAUCUGAGGGAGGCACACUGCAGAACAUGUUAUCUAAGGGAGGCACACUGUAGAACACUGUAUCUGAGGGAGUCACACGUAGAGCAUGGUAUCUGAGCAGGCACACUGUAGAAGAUGGUAUCUGAAGGAGGCACUCUGUAGAAUAUGUUAUCUAAGGGAGGCACACUGUAGAAGAUGGUAUCUGAGGAAGGUAUACUGUAAAACAUGUUAUCUGAGGGAGGCACACUCUAGAGCAUGGUGUCUGUGGAGGCACACUGUAGAACAUGGAAUAUGAGGGAUGCACACUGUAGAGCAUGGUAUCUGAGGGAGGCACACUGUAGAACAUAGUAUAUGAGGGAUGCACACUGUAGAGCAUGGUGUCUGUGAGGAACACUGUAGAACAUUUUAUCUGAGGGAGGCACACUGUAGAGCAUGUUACCUGAAGGAGGCACACUGUAGAGCAUGGUAUCUGAGGGAGGCACACUGUAGAACUUGGUGUCUGUAAGGCACACUGUAGACCAUGUUAUAUGAGGGGUGCACAUUGUAGAGCAUGGUAUCUGAGGGAGGCACACUGUAGAACUUGGUGUCUGUGAGGCACACUGUAGACCAUGU